CAGAUGCUGCAUCAAGGUCACCUGCUUAUCGUCCAUCACAGCCUCCUCCACUUGCGUCUUUAUCAAAUUAGCCUGCAGAGUUUCCUGUAAUUGUCGCAAUUUACCGUCCGAUUUCUGCUUAAAAGCAAAUACAGCAAGCAGAUGUAAGUUUUUCUUGAGCCACCAGAUGUGAAUGCGUCUCGGUUAGAAGGGGUGAAUAUACUUGCGAAGCUUUUUCCUCAUCUGAUGUAAUGUGUGGCGCAGAAUGUAAAGAAGAGUAUCUAUGAAUGCACGGCUCGCUCCAUCUCGAGUGAAAAUUUUGUUCGCGAGAUUGCGACAUAUUUCAUAUGUCUUACUUGAGCUUAUCUCUAGAAUAAGCAUUAUGACUCUACUAAUGUAAUAAAAAAAUUAACGAGUUGUGUGUAAUGUGUUAAAAAAAUCAGAUUUGGAAUCGCUCACUUAUCGCCUCAUCAGCCAUAUCUCUCUAACAAUAAGUAGAUUUACAUCGUCAAUAUAACACGGCUGUUCUGCGAUCUAGAAAGAUGCAGUCUAAAGGUUGACACGACAUCGCAUGCGUGUUUUUACUUGUUGGUCGUAUUUUUUUCAAAAUCUCUCGGGAUGUUGAUCGAUGGAUUCUUAGGAACGAUAUAUUUAUUAUGGGCUAAAAAAUCACGUUCUGAACGUUCACGCGCUGUAUAUAUAUAUUACAAACCAGUAGUUAUAUAUUAUAUAAUUAUAUCUGUGUAUUAAGGUUAUAAAGAUACGACUGACUGUGUUUCCAUGAAGUAAAACAACAAGACGUAAAAAUGACAAAUGACAUAACGAUCGGUUGGCGGUUGCUCCACUGCUACAUUAAAUCUGCGACUUUUACCGCGAUCUUUUUGGCAAACUUUCGAUACAGAUUACAUUAUGAGCGCAUAAAAGUCUUACCAUCUGCAUAUUAACACAAUAUAACAGAAUUUAUUACAUGUUAUAUUAAUACAUGCAUAAAAAAUGUAUACCUAUGUGUAUGGCUCCAAAACUUUCGUGUUUGAUAUUUUAUAUUAAACCUUUGGAUUAUAUUAGGUAUUUGUAUAUAUUUUAUCAAAAAUUUCCGACGGAUAAUUAGUAAGAGAAUUAUUUUUGUUUUUUUUACAUACGUUCUUAAUAUUUAAAUGCACAUCUCCCACUUGGUAUAAACACUUUGACUGUAUAAUCACAUAAUUAAUAUUGCACAUAUAAUUAAAUUGCAAGUUCAAAGAAUAAAUAAUCCAUUCAAGAUCUUUUUCGAAUAAAAAUUCCGUAUAUAUAGAUUUUUUCUCUUGAAUCUCAUGAUAUUUUUUAACUUAAUUUUUUACCAUGUGGGAAAACUCGAUAAACCAUGAAAUCUUAUUAAUAGUUUCUAUUAAAUUAAUUAUUAGUGUGACAAUGGAUCAAUCCUCGAAAGUGGCCUUUCUUACAAAAGGAACAAUCCAACUUUCCUAUAUUCUCCGCGCGUUCUAUAGCAUAAUAAAAUAAACAGACACACGAUAUAUCAAGUAGAAGCUGAAAUUAAUAUUCUUUCUUAACGCUACUUUGUAAGCAUAUAUAUAUAUAUAUAUAUAUAUAUAUAUAUA